rnacentral:miRNA from 1 species
AAAAAAAUCACUGUGUCACGGUAGUGUUUGUGUGUGUGUGUGUGUGUAUGUAUAUAUAUAUAUAUAUAUAUAUACACAUACAUACAUACCCACACACAAACACUACCGUGGCACAAUGACUUAAAA